rnacentral:rRNA from 1 species
UACGAAGGGGGCUAGCGUUGCUCGGAAUCACUGGGCGUAAAGGGUGCGUAGGCGGUUCGUUAAGUCUGUCGUGAAAUCCCCGGGCUCAACCUGGGAAUGGCGAUGGAUACUGGCGAGCUAGAGUGUGUCAGAGGAUGGUGGAAUUCCCGGUGUAGCGGUGAAAUGCGUAGAGAUCGGGAGGAACAUCAGUGGCGAAGGCGGCCAUCUGGGACAACACUGACGCUGAAGCACGAAAGCGUGGGGGGCAAACAGG